AAGGGCACCACAAGAACGCGUGGAGCAUGUGGCUUAAUUUGACUCAACGCGGGAAAUCUUACCGGGUCCGGACACACUGAGGAUUGACAGGCAAUAUUAUAAAGUAAUAACUUACAUUCGUGUAUUUUGUUUUUUAUAUGUUAAAUAUGCUAGUCCUUUCAUGAUUAUGUGAUAGGUGGNGCAUGGCCGUUCUUAGUUCGUGGAGUGAUCUGUCUGCUUAAUUGCGUUUCACUAUUGGGCUUAUAUAAUUACGUAUGUUGCUAUUUGACGCUUUGACCCCNUUUCCUACGGGAUAUUGCGUGUGUCUUUGUUUACGUCUAUAGCUCAUACGAUUCAGCCCUGAAAGCAACGAACGUGACCGCAACCUCUUGUUGCUCUCAAUUACACUAAUACUGCAUUAUGAAUAUAUUUUAUAUAUUUUUUUGCAAUAAGAGAGCUUUCUAAACUAGAGGGACCGCUGUUACUUUCUUAAACCAGAGGAAGGUUGCGGCAAUAACAGGUCUGUGAUGCCCUUAGAUGUUCCGGGCUGCACACGUGCUACAAUGAUUAUUGCAGUGAGCAUCUCAUUUUUUUACACAUCGCAUGCGCGAGUCCAUUUAUUCAUAUAUGCUUCGGUGUAAUGUUUNAAAUGCGUNUACUCUGCGCGCGAUAAAGCCUACUUCGAAAGUAAGUGGGUAAUCAAUUAGAAGUAAUGAUUUCCUAUAUAUUUUUUUAUCUGCACACAUAUAUAUGGCGCUACAUACCCGGGUAACCUUUGUUGUUACUCUUGUGCGUAUGUGCGUAUGUCUUCACCGAUAUAAUUUCCAUAUGUGCAAUUGUCAAUUCAUGGUGGGGACAGACCAUUGUUAAUUGUUGGUCUCGGUCUUAACUAGGAAUGCCUUGUACGGAUCUUUGGUUCAACAAAUCAUCCGGAAUACGUCCCUGCCCUUUGUACACACCGCCCGUCGCUCUUACCGAUGGACUUCUCUGUGAGUUUGAGGGACUGGUAUAGUGUAUUGAUUUAUUUCAUUACACACCACUAUAGAAACUUAAACGAACAGUGGGGUCUAAAGGAAAGAGAAGUCGUAACAAGGCAUCAGUAGGUGAACCUGCAGAAGGAUCA
rnacentral:rRNA from 1 species